ensembl:lncRNA LOC102552925 uncharacterized LOC102552925
CUAAGGGCCCACAUUCCAAAGGAUUUACCUUUGGAAUUUACCUUUGUUAGGUCACACACAGAGAAGGACAAGAGUGGCCAUUACAUAGGCUAAAGAUAUCCCAACACAGUUGGGGGUCUAGACUUGCAACAUUUCAACCUCCUCUCAUCACUGAAGUUCUCAUCUGUCCCCCAGCCUUUCUCUAGGAAUUCUUUCUUGUUCCCAUCUCUCAGAGACUCCAUACCAGAACAUACGGGAGGGAGGAGCAGGAAGUCCCUGAUUCGAAGGAUGCUCUGAGCCCAGCCUCCUUCUCCAUCCCUUCCUCCACCCGCUCCCUCAACUUCAGGACCUAUGACUGGAGACAGAGACCGUGCUCCAGACUUUGCAAUCAGAGAUGUUUUCACCCAAAGGUAAUGGACAUGCAGGACUUAGAAAGUCAAAGCUGGUCUCGGCUGGGGAGGUAAUCACACAGUCAAACUGGUUCAGCCAGACAGCCUGCCAAUUCUGGGUUUCUGCUCCGGGCUUCUAAAGGUGACCAAGCAAGUCCUCGGAUAAGAAUGCAAGUGAGCAAAAUAACAAAUUCUUCUGAUACGACCUUUUCUUUCUCUGAAACACGAUCUCACUGCCUAGCUCUUGCUAGCGUGAAACUCACUCUGUAGACCAGGCUAGCCUCUAACUCACGGAGAUCCGCCUGCUUCUUCCUCCCAAGCGAUGGGCUUUUGUUAGGAUAUAAUACCUUAGUCCUCAAAGUCUCCAGGAAGACAGACAGCAGAGGCCUGGACCUAGCUGUCCCUGGAGAAGCUGCAGGACAGGUGCAGCUAUAAUGGCCUGUGCAAGAAGGAAGCUUCCUGGAGCACACAUGCGGCCAGAAGCAUCAGAAGGGCCCACUGUGGUCCGGGCCAGCUCCUGUUACAAGUCAGAUGUUGGAGGGAUUUGAGAGAGUCACUUCAUUCCUUCUGACUCUCGUUGGUUCUAUCACACAAGCGGCUUCCAAACCUACCUUUAAGGUUCAGGCACAAAAGCUUCAGGAAGUCAAGCGUCUGUUUUCAAGAUGGGUAUAAAGGACCGUACUAGCUUGCAGAGAAAUGGCUGCACUUUCAUAGACACAGAAGAAGGCUCCUACCCAACAGUCAGGGGUCAGAUCUCCAAAACGAGCCCUACAAUCAGCCUUCCAGAGUUGGCCUGGAGUGCUCACCCUUCGCUCGCCUCGUUAGAAGAAUCCCAUGCACACGCUGAAGCCAGCUGAGAAUCCCUGCUAAGCUUUCGGGCAGCUGGGAGAAGCAAAGUUGGAUCCCUGCCUAAAUCCCUGGGAGAGCCCACGCUCUGUUGCCAGCACCUUGACUGGAACAUCAAUAUUGGACAUCUGGCCUCGGACCUAGGAAAGAACCAAUCUACACGAGCCAGUAUUGUCGCCAGCGUGUGAACAAAGAGAGCCGACUCCUGGGUAGAGCAGCACACUCCAAGGCAUAGGCAUGGGACAGAGCCAGGUAUGGACCACAUCCAUGUCACCUUCUAAAAAUGCCUUACUGGCUCCAACGAACCGACACAUGGCUCGUUAGCCUUCAGGAAGAAUCUAGAAAUGCUGCCCCAGUAACAUUCAGCAAGCAGAGGGAGCUCUCGGCCUGUCCAUCGACAGUGACACUGUCACCAUGGCGGCCCUCUACCCUCCAUCCUCUUCAGCAUUGAAGCUGUUACGGCUUUAAUGUAAGACAUCUCAGGUCCACGCGAUGGGACAGUCUCCACCUUGUGGCACUGCUUUGGGAGGUUGUGAACCGUGACAUGAUGGGGUCUGGCCGGAGGAUGUGGGUCACUAAAUAAACAGGCUUUGAGGUUUAACUAGUGGCUCCAAGUCAACUCCUCUGCCCUUGAUUUGCUGAGGUGUGAGCAAGCUCUUCCUGCCACAGAGCUGCCUGCCACCGCGACGCCUCCACCAUGUCUCCUAAAACAAGAUAAGCCUCUUCUAAACUGCUUCAAAGCCCUUGACAACUGCACCAGGCAAAAGAGCUAUGUAAGGAAAAGCCGUAGCUGGCCUUCCCUAAGGCAUCUCUCAUUUCACUGUAACCCCAGAACUGCUGCUAGCAUCCCGAAGUGUGCAUUAUGUGCCUACCCCGGUGGUGCUCCUGACAAGCUGCUACUAGAAACCAGACAUGGAGGAUUAUGGGUAAUGGAGGUUCUCAAUGAACACAUCACUCACCAUUCAAGUCUGAAAUACACCUCCACCUCCACACUUCACUAUAAUACCAACCCAAUUAAUAACGAUCGGUGGGAAUUAUGAAACAUCUGUUGAACAUACUGGUGUGGAGACCAGGAUUCUACUCAGGAAAGGAUGCAGUGACAGCUACCAGAAGGGCACAGUACCCUGUGAAAUAAUCACCGAAGACUUGAAAUGAUACUCAACUUGUGAUGCCUGAUCACGAGGGACAUGCAAAUCAAGCCACAAUGUGAUAUCAUUCCAGUCACUCAGACGGCCAUCAUCAGAGCACAGGGGGCG